rnacentral:rRNA from 1 species
GAUGAACGCUGACAGAAUGCUUAACACAUGCAAGUCGACCUGUGGCGGAUGGGUUAGUAACUCGCAGAGGACUUGCCUCUCUGCUAGGGACAACACUUGGAAACGAAUGCUAUUACCUGAACCUGUGAGAGCGCUUUCCGUCCCAUUAGCCAGUUGGAGAGGUACCGGUUCGCAAAGGCGAUGAUGGGUAGCCGGCCUGAGAGGGUGAUCGGGCACAAGGGGACUGGGGCACGGCCCUUACGCCUACGGGAGGCAUCAGUGGGGAAUAUUGGACAAUGGACCAAAGUCUGAACCAGCAAUUCUGUGUGCACAGUAAAGUUUUCGGAAUGUAAAGUGCAUUCAGUUUAGACGCGGUACCAACAGAAGAAGUGACGGCUAAAUACGUGCCAGCAGCCGCGGUAAUAC